GCGGUUCGUCAGGUCGGGCGGCGGCGGCUCCCGGGGCCUCCGCCCGCAGCCGGCGGCAGAGCGGAGGCAGGCGGCUGAGACGGGCGAGCCAUUUGCAUUCGCCGGCAGUCAUUUUUAUACGCGGAGGUAAUGAAGUUGUCAGCGGCGCCCGGAGUGUGCCGGAGCCUGAUAUUCAAAUAGACCUGCCCGACUCGCCCAGCCUCCCGCCCCCGCCCCCCGCCGGCCUGCGAGUCCCCGGAUGAGCGCGCGCCGCCCGCCCCCUCCCCGACGGCCGCGGGCGCUUUGUUUGCAGGGGCGCCGCUUCCCCGCGCCCCGCGCCCGCUCCGGCCGGAGCCCCGCCCUCGCCCUCUUCCCUUUCUCUCCCCGCGCCUUUGUCUCCGCCUCCCUCCCGCUUUGUGUCUCUGGAAGGCUCAGCCUCAGAUACCAGCGACCCCACCCGGCUGGCCGCCGGUGGCCCCGCAGACCCCGAGACGCACGUCCCCGCUGCCCUGCGGACAGCACCCAGGGGGACGAAAUUCGUGGCAGUGAGGCCACCACCCUCACACUUGGCACCCUUCCCUUCCCCCGGCAGCUCCCCCUGUUCCCCUUAUCUCCAUCUCCGAGAAGGAGGACUUAAAUGCUGUCAUUAUCACUUUGGCCUGCAGUGGUUUUCUCCCCUUGCUGAAUGCAUGUUUGUGGUCAUUUUUCUGAUUACAAAACCAAAACAUAGCCACCCAGUCAGACUGCUAAGAAAAGGCUGUAGGUGCGGCAGCACUGGUAAGGAAACGACGUGGAAAGACAGACACAUACCUGCUUUGACAUAGGUAGUUGCUGGUGAACCUUGAAGCUCGGGAGACUCAUUUUCCUGGGCUUCUGGAGCUGUGCUGUCCACUGGAGCAGCCACUGGCCACAUGUGGCUAGUGAGCACUUGAAAUGUGGCUAGUCUAAAUUGAGAUGUGCUGUAAGGGCAAAAUACAGGCUCUAUGAAAAAAGGAAUGCA
rnacentral:lncRNA from 1 species